CUUGCUGGGGAUAGCAGACUGGUGGAUUGAAGCCCCCAGCUGUGGACCCUGCCGUGGCUCCCUGUGGUACAGAGCUGGGAGGCUCAGCACUGCUCUGCAGCCCCUCUUGGCCACCUGGCUCCAGCUCCACCAGCAUGCCUGCAGGCUGGGGCCAUCCUUGUUACUCCAGGAGUACAUCAGCAUUUGCUCAGGACUGUAGAAGAGCUGGAGAGUGAGAGAGUGACAUCAGUAAUUCAUGAAUUAUCCUCCUGAGAAACAUUAUCCUUCCCAGGCAUCAUGCAGGUGACAGUAAAGUCCCCUGAUUUCUUACUCCAUGAAGAGUCACUAGAGCCUUUCUUCUGAAAAGAAAACCUACCAGCAAAGUCAUAGCCCUGCUGAAAAGGAGCAGGAGGGGGUUGUGGUGGACUCAUGUAAACACGAGCUCACAGUGUGUUCUCUUUUAUACUGGUGAAAACCACAUCCUUGGCUAUAUCAGGAGCAUGGCUGGCUUGUUGUCCUUUUCUGUUUGGUGCUGGUGAGUCCACACCUGAACCAGUGCUUGCCUUUUGGGAUUCUCAUGUCAACAGGACAUUGAUAAACUGGGCAGGGCCUGGUGGAGGGCUAUCAGCAUGGCCAGGACCUGCUUCCUACAGCCUGAGAAGGAGAUGGACUUAUUCAGUCUGGCAAAGGUGAAGCAAAGGGAUGUCCUUAUAACAGGAGCUGCACACAACUGAGACCUUCCCUUCAUCUCCCUGGGAGGCUGCAGCCAGUUCAUCAAAGGGUAGUGAUCCAAGUCUCUGUCAUCUCCAGGAAUCAUUGCAGUGUGUUCACCCUUGGCUAAGCUUGAAGGAGCCCUGAAAGUUGCAGCUCAGGCAAGAGAUGAUUGUGCGCUUCUCUGUGCGGCUUCCACUGAACCUGUGAUGCAUUCAGGAGCACCAACCUCCUUCAGGAGCCUCAAUGCAGCUCAAGAUGGUAUUCUCAAAUGGGAACUGCCUUUCUGGGUUGCCUCGUGUGACACGGAGAGCUUCCCUCUGCUUGGAGUCCUCCGUGGCACUUCAGAUCAGUGACAGUGUCAGAUCACUGGCUGCAGUCUUUGCAUAGCUUCCCUCUUGACCCAGCUUGCUGUAUUCCAGGUUUUUUCACUUUCAGUGUUCUGGUAAAAAAAACUGUUCAUUCAGCCAUUCAGCCUGCACAAGCAAUAUGGAGUAGGGAGGAGGUUUUUUGGUUUUGUUUUUGUUUUUUCUUCUUUUUUUGGUGUGUGUGUGCGUGUGUAAAAUGCAGGUUAGCUGCUAGUUUGCAGCCCUGCAGCUGUAGGCUUAGUGUGGACGUAAGUGACCAAGCAAAUGUCUAUCCAGAGUGGCUGUCCCUGCAGGCUGUCUUCUGUGGCACUUGGACUGCAGGUUCCUGUGGCCUCUCAGCUGACUGCCUCAUAGUGCUUCUGAUUUUAAUAAACCAAUGACAGAAGAGGUUGCUAAAUGGUAGCUAAUAAACAAAGUGACAUGCACUAAGUCUGGUAAUAUAAUAUUGCUCCUAAAGAAAAUAUGAAAAAUAGUAAUCAUAGUCAUUGUUAUUGCUAUCUUGUCCUUCAUCAGGCUUAAACUAUCCAUCAUGCUGAUAAGGCUGAAAGGAAUGCCCAGCAAUAUAAGAUGCAUAUAUCACGGAAGACGCACUGGAGAUCAGCAGUGAAAUAGCUGCUCUGCAACAGACUGUACGGAAGGCUGAGCAACAUGGUGGUAUGGGCUGGGGGUUUGCUUUGGCGUGUCAACACACCUAGAGCACACAGGUGUGAGCCGGGGCCACGGGAGGAUUGUUUUGUGUGGUGAAGGGCCACAAAAGGCCGCUGAGGGCUGUGUCCUGCAGUUUCCUGUCAGCCCUGCAGCGGAGGCAGGCUGCUGGGCCGGGCGGGGUGCUGCGCUGUGCCCCUGCGGCCUGCAUGGAGGCCCUCGGGAAGCCAGGCUGAGCACCAGGCAGCCAUGCCUGAGGACUCUGACUGUCCUUGCAGCUGCAGAUCCCGCAGGCCAGCACCUCUGGGACACCCAUCCCAUCCCCCAGGCAGUGACUG
ensembl:lncRNA